UACGAAGGGGGCUAGCGUUGCUCGGAAUUACUGGGCGUAAAGGGCGCGUAGGCGGACAGUUUAGUCAGAGGUGAAAGCCCAGGGCUCAACCUUGGAAUUGCCUUUGAUACUGGCUGUCUUGAGUUCGGGAGAGGUGAGUGGAAUGCCGAGUGUAGAGGUGAAAUUCGUAGAUAUUCGGCGGAACACCAGUGGCGAAGGCGACUCACUGGAACGGUACUGACGCUGAGACGCGAAAGCGUGGGGAGCGAACAGG
rnacentral:rRNA from 1 species